rnacentral:rRNA from 1 species
AGAACGACUCUCGGCAACGGAUAUCUCGGCUCUCGCAUCGAUGAAGAACGUAGCAAAAUGCGAUACUUGGUGUGAAUUGCAGAAUCCCGUGAACCAUCGAGUUUUUGAACGCAAGUUGCGCCCGAAGCCAUCAGGUUGAGGGCACGCCUGCCUGGGCGUCUCGC